UGCAUGGCUGUCGUCAGCUCGUGUCGUGAGAUGUUGGGUUAAGUCCCGUAACGAGCGCAACCCUUGUCCUUAGUUACCAGCACGUAAUGGUGGGCACUCUAAGGAGACUGCCGGUGACAAACCGGAGGAAGGUGGGGAUGACGUCUAGUCAUCAUGGCCCUUACGGCCUGGGCUACACACGUGCUACAAUGGUCGGUACAGAGGGUUGCCAAGCCGCGAGGUGGAGCUAAUCCCAUAAAACCGAUCGUAGUCCGGAUCGCAGUCUGCAACUCGACUGCGUGAAGUCGGAAUCGCUAGUAAUCGCGAAUCAGAAUGGCGCGGUGAAUACGUUCCCGGGUCUUGUACAACGC
rnacentral:rRNA from 1 species